GCUAAUAUAACGUGGUGGUUACAUCGGGCAAGCUUAUCAGAAGUAAAAAAAGAGAACUUUUUCUACAAAACCCUAAUAUUCUUUCCCAUACUCAUUCGUUCCCAAAACCUUUUUCUUCAUUUCCGCCGCUGCAUCCUUAUCUGCGGCCACUUCAUCUUCAUCCAAGGCGGACUCCAUCUACAACACAACAGAUUACCUCCUAAUCAUUGAACUCGUGACUUUAAAGAGAAAGCGACAAAUAUACACAAACAAGUUUAGCUUUAACACUUCAAAAAUCCUCAGGAGAUGCUUUCUUAUUCCCCUAAGCACCCCUGAGAUUCAUUUCAAAACCCUAUUCAUAUUUUCAUCUAUUAACUUACAACAACCCAAUUUCACUUUCCAUUUCCCUUUCAAUUUCUGUUCCAUUUUCACCGUCGAAUUUGAAUGGCUUCCGAACGGUUUCACCGACAAGAACGCCGUGUUCAGAAAACUCUAAACCAAGUCCGAAAACAAGUCGUGUUUUGAUUGUAAUGCAAAGAAUCCGACCUUGGCGUUAGUACCGUAUGGGAUCUUCCUCUGCAUUGAUUGCUCGACAGUUCAUCGGAGUCUCGGCGUUCACAUCAGCUUCGUGAGGUGAGUUGUUGAUUGAUUUUGUUAAAUGAUGAAUUUUGUUGGUGAUUUUUUAAGCUUCGGUGUUUGUGUUAGUUAGUGCUGUAUUGUGUAAUGGUGAGGAUUGAAUUUGCAUUUAGAUUCCACAGAGCUUGAGAAAGCGAAGCAAAUGCUGAAAGUACAGUCAGGUGAAAAAUCUUUCUCAAGCACAGUCAGGUGAAAAAUGCUGAAAUUACAAAUGCAAAUUCACCUGAUGCAAAUGCUGAAAUUACAAAUGAAAAUUACAAAAGCAAAUGCUGAAAGUAUUAAUUUGUAAUUUUCAUCGGCUCUAUCGUAUAUCUUAACAGUGUAAUUAGUAGUUUUUCUUCCAAAUGAAAUGGUUAUUGCUUGCAUGGUUUAUGAAAUCAUAUUGAGGUUUUUGCCUCUUAUUAUGUGUAGCAUUAAUUCUAAAUCGAAAAGAGUUGAAUGAUAGUACUAUGCUUAAGAAGCAGUGUAGAAUAAAUAAAUGAUGGUAGAUAUUUAUAUUCUAAGUUAAUUUUGGAGCACAUGUAGUGGUGUAGCUUUUGAAAAUUUGCAGGAAGAGGUACUCACUUGCCAUAUUAACAAACAUAACAUUGUUUACAGGUUCAAUCAGAACAUAAUUCAUUUCUUCAUGCAGAUUAAUAAAUUUCAAAGGAGCCGGGGAAUGGACCCGUCAUUUAUGCCUAGUAGAAAGUCGUUUGAACGUGUAGGCCGCUUUGAUAUUGCACGAGCGCUAGAAAAGUGGGGUGGCCUUCAUGAGGUUUCACGCCUUUUGUCCCUUAAGGCAAGAAGGAAAAGGAGCAAUUAGGACAACCUUACCAAGGAUAAGGAAAAUGAUCAAAUGGAAUCACCUGAUGUAGAUAGCGAGAUAAAUACAGACCCCAUAUUUGCAUUGCUUUGUUGAGGUAAAGUAAUUUUGGUGUUGUCUUCAGAAGCUACAUGUCAUCUUCUUGUGGAUUGCAUGUUGGUAUUUCAAGUGUGGGAAAGACCUUGUAAAUGGUUGGAUAUUUAUUGCUUUGUUAUUUUGUAGUAGUCCACCGUGUAUAAACUUUUUUAUAAUUUAGUACACUUGUGUAUCUUAGAUUAAUACUUUUGUAAAUUUUGUAGAUUAUAUCUUUCAUUGGUUAGAAAAAUAUGAAAAUAGUGACCUAAAUGUGGUCUGUGUGCUGUGGGGAAAAUGUGAAAAAUAGCGACCUUACUUUGGUCUAUGUGAUAUUUGAACGUUAUAUGAAAAAUUAGGUAAAAAAAAUUACAGGUUAAAAUAGGAAAAACAACUAUUAUACGCUUAAAAGCAGAAAACAUAUUACAUUGGGAAAAAUGAAAAAUUAAUGUAAAAAUCUAUCUAUUACAUCGGGCAUACUGGCAAACCGAUGUAAAAAGUGUCUAUUACAUCGGGCAUACUGGCAAACCGAUUUAAAAAGUUUCUAUUACAUCGGGCAUACUGGCAAACCGAUGUAAAAUA